GUACCAGUGAGCAUGGAGGUUUGGUUGAAAUUGGUUACGACGACGUCGAGUUGGCGGCGGAGGAAGACUCGGCAUGAAGGCCAGAAAAUGGUGUGGAACGUAGUGGUAAUAGUACGCGCCCCGCUCCGAAACAAAGAAAAAGGUGUGUGCCGCACUCACGAGGGACUGCCAGUGAGAUACUGGAGGAAGGUGGGGAUGAUGUCAAGUCCACAUGGCCCUUAUGGGUUGGGCCACACACGUGCUACAAUGGCAAUGACAAUGGGAAGCAAGGCUGUAAGGCGGAGCGAAUCCGGAAAGAUUGCCUCAGUUCGGAUUGUUCUCUGCAACUCGGGAACAUGAAGUUGAAAUCGCUAGUAAUUGCGGAUCAGCAUGCCGCGGUGAAUAUGUACCCGGGCCCUGUACACACCGCCCGUCACACCCUGGGAAUUGGUUUCGCCCGAAGCAUCUGACCAAUGAUCACCCAUGACUUCUGUGUACCACUAGUGCCACAAAGGCCUUUGGUGGUCUUAUUGGCGCAUACCACGAUGGGGUCUUUGACUGGGGUGAAGUCGUAACAAGGUAGCCGUAGGGGAACCUGUGGCUGGAUUGAAUCCUUC
rnacentral:ncRNA from 1 species